GAAAUGGCUUUUCUUAAAGCCAUACUCAAAUGUUUUAAAACCUGU
rfam:Struthio camelus australis contig60748, whole genome shotgun sequence.